GAGUGAGAAAAUGAUAGGAGUGUAG
rnacentral:piRNA from 1 species